CUUUGAGUUACCCCUCUUUGUAAAGCUGUGGGACCUAAAGGAUGUGUAUGACACCUCAGUUUGAGAAUAUGCAUUCACCAAUGCGUAUUCAGUGAUUAAUUAUAGCGCGCGGCGAACUUUAAAAAUCAAAUGUGACUUCAAACCAAGGUAAAGGCCGGGUGAGGUUUAAGGAAAGUGGGAAAUAUUUAGGAAACGAACGCGUCCAAAUGAAUUCUAGCCGCUCUUCUAAUCACGACACCGCAACAAGGAAAAAAGUGGUAAAGAGGACCAGGACACAACUAAAUUACGGUUUCGAUAGCGCGUCUGAGGAAGAAAAAGAGGGAAGUAAAUACAACACCGUGUCCUGUCACUGUUUCGUGCACUUCACACGAGACCAGCGGCUGCUGCAAGCUCCCACGGACACCAUGAUGAGAGAGUGUGGAGUCGCUUCGACCGAGCAGCAAUGACCAGUGAGCGGUAGACGAGCGUAGGCUGCGUGGAUCACGAGAACUAACUCCGUGGCUUUAUUGUCUGAAACCCCCCGGUCGUCCAGAAGAUGGGGCAUCCUCCUCUGGAGUUCAGUGAGUGCUAUCUGGACAGCCCGGAGUUCAGGGAGACUCUCAAGUGUUAUGAAUUGGAGCUGGAGAGGACGAGCAAAUUCCUCAAAGAGUUGAUAAAAGACGGCAACAGUGUAAUCACUGCGAUCAGAGGCUAUUCUCUGGCAGUACAGAAGUUUUCCCAGACUCUCAGCAUAUUCCAGUUCGAUGUCGUCGGUGACUCCCUGACAGAUGAUGAAAUUAACAUUACUCAGUCGUUCCAGGAGUUUGCCGAACUCCUGCAGGAAGUAGAGCGCGACAGGAUGAUGCUGGUUCAGAACGCCUCCGAUCUGCUCAUCAAGCCGUUGGAGAAGUUCAGAAAGGAGCAAAUAGGAGUUACAAAAGAAAAGAAAAAGAAGUUCGAGAAGGAGAGUGAAAAAUACCACUCCCAGGUAGACAAACACCUGAAUCUCUCUGCAAAGAAGAAAGAGAGUCAACUUCAAGAGGCCGAUGAAGUCCUUGACAAAGAGCGGGUGAACUUCUAUGAAUCGUCGGUGGACUACGUGUACCAGAUCCAUCAGGUGCAGGACAGGAAGAAGUUUGACGUGGUGGAGCCGGUGCUGGCAUUUCUGCACAGCGUUCUAACGCUCAACAACCUGACUGUGGAGAUGACUCAUGACUUCAUGCCUUACAAGCAAGAACUGCAGCUCAGCUUGCAGAACACAAGAAACAACUACGAGAGCACUCGCGAGGAGAUGGAGGAGCUGAUGAGAAGAAUGAAACACCCGUCCCAGAUCUGUAAAAUGCACAGCUUUCUGCCCACGGAGGGCUAUCUGUACUGUCAUGAGAAGUGGGCUUUGGGCAUGUCGUGGGUCAAAUAUUAUUGCAAGUAUCGCAAGGAGGGGAGACAGCUGGUCAUGGUGCCUUGCGAGCAGAAGCCUAUAACUAAACAGGGCACUACGCAGCUCACACUGAAAUCCUGCAUCCGCCGGAAGACGGAGUCCAUCGACAAGCGCUUUUGCUUUGACGUGGAAACUCACGAGAGAAACACACCCGUCACUUUCCAAGCUCUUUCGGAGGCGGACAGGAAGUCGUGGAUGGAGGCCAUGGAUGGAAAAGAGCCUAUCUAUCAUUCCCCAAUUCACAAUCAAGCUGAAAUGGAACUGAAUGAAAUUGGAUUUAAGUUUGUGCGAAAGUGCAUCAACUACAUUGAAACAAAAGGAGUCACACAGGAAGGAGUGUACAGAACUGUUGGCAGCAACAUCCAAGUGCAGAAGCUAUUAAAUGCCUUCUUUGACCCCACUAACCCAGGAGAUGUGGAUCUCCAGAGCAGCGACUGGGAUGUUAAAACCAUCACAAGUGCACUGAAGUUUUAUCUAAGGAGCUUGUCUGAACCGCUGAUGACCUACAGUCUACACAGAGACCUCAUGUGUGCUGCAAAGUCAGACAAUCUGGACUUUCGACUGAGUGAGAUUCAUUCCCUUUCCCACAAGCUACCAGAGAAGAACCGGGAGAUGGUGGAGAUGCUUAUUAAACACCUGGUCAACGUGUGCAGUCACAGUGAAGAAAAUCGAAUGAUCCCUUCAAACAUGGCCGUUAUCUUUGGACCCACGCUCAUGAGAGCCAAGGAGGAGACGGUGGCGGCCAUGUUGGAUAUCAAGUUCCAAAAUAUUGUCGUUGAGAUUCUGAUUGGGGACUUCAAAAAGAUCUUCAGUUAUAUGCCAGAGGACAGCACUUCCCCACCAGUCCCUCCUCCGCGGAUCACCCCGAGAAAGAGGCAACCAAUCACAAUCUCCAAGCGGCCGCCUCGUGUUUAUCAAGCUCUUACUCCCAACCUCUUCCAGCACACAGAGAAUGGCCAGAACGACAGCUGUGUCGUGGACGGGGAAGUCUCAACGAACCCUGUUCCCUUGCAGCGGACAAGACCAGGAAGCGUUCCUCCACUCGUUCCAAGAGAACCUCCUCCAAAAUUAGCAUUGAUGCCCAGAUCAGCUAGCCGUCAGGAAAGACACUUAGACUCUGACACCGGCAAGAUAGACGACACAAGGCAAAGGCCAGAUUCUUCUUCGGCGGCCAAUGGAGAGUCUGGAGUCUAUGUGAGCAGAGUACCGUCCUUCCAGAGCAGAAGACAACCUCCCAAAGGCUCACCAGCCAACAGAGAAGGAGAUUCUGAUGGUCUGACCAGAACAAGGUCCACAGAGAAACAUGCCAUUUGUAGACCACCUGUCAGGCCUCCUGAACCCCCCUCCAGACACCCCGCUCCACAAAAGACCCCGAGUGCAGCCAGCAGCGAGGGCACAGCCUCAUCCUAUGUUGCCUCUAAAACUAAGUUUUUUGAGAAUGCCUCCAGGCACGUUGGCAGGUAUGUAGAAGCUUAUAUUUGUGUAUGUGCUCCUGUCUGUCCUUUUCUGUAGUUCAGUACACUCAUCACACACACAUGUUUUUACAGUCCUGUAGAUGACAGUUCAUAAAAAAACCCCAACUGAAGAUUAAAGUUACCCUCUUCCUUCUGAUGACGUAAAUAUGGAAGUGGAAACAUGUCUCCUCUUUUAUGAUUUGCUUGGAUGGUCCGAGUUCAGGUCCUUGCUGCCCUCCCUGCACACGCAGUGAUAAAGGCUGGAAGGGAAGAAUGCCUGAGUGGGAAGAGUUUGUAGGAGUUUUGUCAAAGAGAGUUUAUCUCUUUCAACAUUGUAUUCUAUUAAUGUUACAUAUAGACAUACAAAGAUGUCGUUUGGCCUUUUGGAAAGAAGAAGCACAGUGUGACUCAUAUAGUGAUUUAUUAUCCCACACAGCUGUAUAAUAUGAAUAUCGUGUAGAUAUAUUAAGAUCUCACAAUUAGUUGGUAGCCUCUGUUUUAACUGUUGAAUUCUUACUUCAAAAAGGAGCCAAUUAAACUGAAAGACCCUCAGUUGUUCUGAGCUUUUUGAAGCUUUUCUUUCUUUGUGUUGUUGGUAUUUGUUUGGGUGUUGAGCUAAGAUAGCAACCAUGUUUCCCCAGAAUCGAAAAUGGAUUUGUAAUUAUUUUUCUUUUCUUUUUUCUCUCUGCUAAUUUAGUCCACCCGCCUCUCCGUAAUUAUCAACAGUGACAAAAGAGAAUUAAAGUUAAGGAGCCUCGGACAACAUCAUGUGACCUCUACAUGUGCUGUUGGGUGCUGAUGAAGCUGGAGGGAGUCAUUGUCAAUGAUCUUAGCGGAUAGACUGAAGAGGUGGCUCCCCAUAUAUCAUAAUACAUAUAUUUGAUUCCAUCUUAUGUUUAAUUGUAAGAAUGAUGUUGUAAGGGAACACAUUAGCAAAUGGACUUUUGAUUGGGCUUUGAUCAUUAUUCCAAAGUUAAGAUGGCGUAACUGUACUAUUUCCCCCCUUGUUUCAUGCCAGGUGACAAUUUUGUCAACUAAUAUUACAAUAUUUAGUUAUUUUACAGUGUUAACAACUUUGAAUGGCCAAUUUUAUUAGAGGCAACAAACUGCCAUAACUUGUUAUAACCGAUUACUUAGACAUCUUGUCUACACUCUUAACACUUGUUUUUAAAUUGUAAAAUAUAUCUCCCAAAGAUGACUAAUUGAUUAAAUAGGGUUAAUCAUUAUUCAUUUGAAAACAUGAAAAAUUAGUCCCAUUAACUUCUAGAUUGUAUAUUGAACCAUGUACAGGUCUGUGAACGAGCUGGAUAAAGCUAAUUCAUGAAGCAAGUUACAUCCAUAGAAUAACUAUUUCUGUGGAAGCUGUUUUGGUUUGUUCAUUCAGAAAGAAAUUUUAGAUCAAAAUUGAAUUUGACAAAACGUGUCUUUCAGCGAUGAGUCACUUUUUAUGAGGCAUUACAAAAAUGUAUUUUGCUACCCAGUGCCGGCCUGUAUGCCAGUCAGUGUGGCUAUAAUCGACAUGAUGAAUACAAUGCUAAUGCUAGUUUAAUAGGGAGUUAUUAAAACUAGAUUCACUAGUGUACAUUCCCUCACUUCUGACCUUGGUGUCGAUCCCUCCUUACUUCAUGGAGGUAGGUCAGGUUGCACAAGAAGAAGUUUACCUGAAUUUGUUGCACCUCAAAUAAAUUACCAAAAUGGGUCACGUAAACUGACUGUUACAAUAGUUUGUGAAGAUAACACUCCGAUGUUUUGUUUUAUUUCUUUGUCUUCAAAAUCGUUCUGUUAAUUUUACACUUUUGUUUAAUAACCCAACUUGAUAAUUCUGGUCGUUGGAUUUGUUUGCAAAAAAGAAAAUAAAAGUUGUUAACAUGC